UCUCCGUUGGUGAACCAGCGGAGGGAUCAUUACAGAGUUAUCUAACUCCCAAACCCAUGUGAACUUACCAUUUGUUGCCUCGGCAGAGCCUACCCGGUAACUGUUCGGAGAAGCUACCCUGUAGCUACCCUGUAGCCGCCGGCGGACCACCAAACUCUGAUUACUUUGGAUAUCUGAGCGUACUUUUAAAUAAGUCAAAACUUUCAACAACGGAUCUCUUGGUUCUGGCAUCGAUGAAGAACGCAGC
rnacentral:misc_RNA from 1 species